rnacentral:rRNA from 1 species
UACGGGGGGAGCAAGCGUUGUUCGGAUUUACUGGGCGUAAAGGGCGCGUAGGCGGUCGUGACAAGUCACUUGUGAAAUCUCCGGGCUUAACUCGGAACGGUCAAGUGAUACUGUCGGACUAGAGUACAGAAGGGGCAACUGGAAUUCCUGGUGUAGCGGUGAAAUGCGCAGAUAUCAGGAGGAACACCGGUGGCGAAGGCGGGUCUCUGGGCCGAUACUGACGCUGAGGAGCGAAAGCGUGGGGAGCGAACAGG